rnacentral:tRNA from 1 species
GGAGAGGUGUGAGAGCGGCCGAAUCAAAACGACUGGAAAUCGUUUGACCUGAGAAAUCAGGUCCCUGGGUUCAAAUCCCAGCCUCUCCGCCA